UAGAAGUAAAAUUACUCCCUUUAUUCUUAGAGUGUAGUCCUAUUGCAAUAAACAGGCUUGUUUCAUUACAUUUUCCUUUUGGGCUUAAAUUGCUCUGAAUGAACUCAGAACUGCAUUGAAAAUUGAGUCGAAUACCACCCUUCAAGAGCUGGUUAUAGUGGAUCAUGCUCCGUUUUAUAUACACAGCUGAGCUUAAAAUACCACAUUGGCUUCGGAAUAUUCUUACUUUAAGGGCAUGUGGACACCCGUGUCUGCUCCGAAAGGUACCUUUUCUGCUUCCAAGCAAAAUUUUGGUUGCUCCCAAGAGUGGCUCCAAAACGACUUUGGCCAAUCACAUCCCUGCGCGUCCCUAAUCAGGUCCACGUCGUCAUCCUUUACGUGCCAAGCUCUUACUUUUAAAGGUCAGAUAUGCCGAUUUUGAACUGCUGCAGAACUGAGCGAUACUCGCGCUGUGUGUUCGUUACCUAACACUGAAUAUGUAUGCGAAAUAUCUUGCUCCAACUGUUCGUAGUUUUUUAGAAAACAGUUUUUUUAGUUCCCAUGCCCAGCCGUCAGACCGUCGGCAAACCGUGCGCACAGGCGCACCGACGUCACUGCUCUCGGUUUAUCUGUCUUUGGCUUGGCAUGGACUCUUGGCUUGGCCGCUUGGCUUCUUUUGUUUCGUCCUCUGUGCAUCGUACAUAAGCGAACAGCUGUUAUGUUAUUGCUAAGCCGGAAACAAAGCAUGUGAAUAUUUUUUUUGGCACGGCGUCGUUUGGAAAGUGCACUUCCUUGUUCUGACCUUGCCUUUUAUGGGCUGGAGCGAUAUGCCACGGCGAAGUUGUCGAAGAUGCGACGGUGCUACGUGCUACGCUGUUAGAACAAUUCAUCGGAGCAUUCAAGUGUUACCUUUUAUAAGCUGCCAAAAGACCAAGCAGUGCGAAGCUCUUGGCUGACAGUGGUGCCUGCUAAUUUCAACUGCAAGGAUUUCGUCAACGAAUGUUAUCAUAGGUUACGCGCGACUCCAGAGGCAAUUUGGAAUAUCGGCACGAAAUCGUCGGAUGAAAAUCUGAGGUGCCCGACGCACAACAUUUUGAACGUGCCACGGAGGAUCAAGGCAAAAAAUGAGAGCAAAAAAGGUGCACGCUGAAGGCGGAAAUGAAGCAUGAUCUGGCUUGCAUCUGUGUACAUGAAGAAAUUGCUGGCACGUUAGUUGCAGUCUACCUCCACCAACAGGGUGGAAAACAAAGGUCGCCAUUCCGAUUAGCUGCUAUCUCCCAGUUCAAGCACUUUUGCUGUCUGGACACUGGUUCCUGUGGAUGGGCUGUUACAAGCUUCACUGUCUGAUAUAGAAGGUACGUUACAUUAGUUCAGUUAAUUUGUCUUUUGCACAUUUUCGUUACUGUUAGUUGGAUUACUGUUGGACAUACAAUCCUUUGACACACAGAAGCUGAUGUCGCCUCUGAUAACGUUUUAGAAUUUUCAGUGUCAUCAACGUCCAUUGAGGAAGGUGCCUUUACUAUCUGUGAACCUUUAAUUGGAGAAUAGCCCAGAAUUCAUGUUAACAUUGUCUACUCUUAUUAAUUCACUGUCUGUGUUCUGAGAGCUUAGAAAAAUCGAAACUAUUUAUUUGUCACAACUUCACACUGGAUGUGGUACUGGCUUGACAUGUAAGCUAAAAUACCUGGAUUCUA